rnacentral:rRNA from 1 species
GACAGAGGCCCCAAGCGUUUAGGCGGAAUCACUGGGCUUAAAGCGUGUGUAGGCGGACGCCUAAGUGUCUUGUGAAAUCCCACGGCUCACCCGUGGAACUGCUGGGCAUACUGGGCGUCUUGGGCCAACUAGGGGCAGCCGGAACAAGCGGUGGAGCGGUGAAAUGCGUAGAUAUCGCUUGGAACGCCGAAGGUGAAAACAGGCUGCUGGGGUUGCGCCGAACGCUGAGACACGAAAGCCAGGGGAGCAAACGGGG